GCUGCAUCUAAUGAGUGGGAAUAUUGCCAUGAGAACAGAAACUGAACAAAAGAUUUAAAGUAAAAUAUCAAAGAGUUUCUCUUUCAAUGAGAACUGUCCCUUCUUGCUGUGUAUAAGGUAGACCCUGAGGAAGAAGAAGCAUGUGGUUGUGUAAUCUAAGCUGUGCCAUCAUGCAAUGGAAUACAUUAAGGUGCCAAGUGAGAUAAUGAGCCAAAUCUAUUUUUAGUCCCAAAAAGAGAGGAAGUAGCAAGUUUUAAAUGGUUUUUCUCCAUAUAGCUUUUAGGUCAUGCUAGAAAAUGUUGAUGGUUUCCAGUGAAUUCUGUGAAAGUCUGUUUGCACUAAUCAAUAGAGCUGCCUUCUGAGAUGGAGAACAAUACUGAUUUCUUGUUUAAAAUGUAAGGUUGAAAAGCUCCAUAUCAGAUUUAAAGAUUUGUACAAGAUUGAAUGUACUAAAAUAUUUUUCAACCCAAGAAAAUAUCUCCAAGACAGCUUUAGUAGCUAUAGAAGCACAGAAGAUGAGAUGGAUGUAUUUUUAGCCAGCUGACACACUGGUUGCCUCUAUAAAGGACACUUUACAGGGUUCCUUUGGAUCAAAAAUAUUGUCUGGUAGAAAACAGUCAAACAAGAUUGGAAUCUGCCUUGCUGUUUUCACUUUGAUAAAGUGUUUCAUUUUCUCUCCCUCCUGCCAAACCAGGCACAUCUGAGUGCCAAAAUGAGUCUCUACUCAUUCUGGGAAUAAAUCCCAGGUGGGUUCCUGCCAGCUGAGCGAGCUGCUCCUGGGCCACCUUGCUCUUCCCAAGUGAACCAUCAUCAUGUUUGGAAGAGGGGGUACCAGAAAUAAAAAGUGUUAAAUUAUUUAAAGCUAUGGUGCUAACUAAUCUUGUGUAAAAAGUAUGAUUACCUGCAUGUCUUUUACUUUCAAGUUGCAUAGAUGAUGAUGAUGAUGAAGAAUCUAUUUGCACUUUUCACUACCUUACCUUAAAGCAGGCUCUGCAUUCCUCCUGGGACAGAGCUUUGGAGAGGAAAAAUCUGUGGGAGGCAAACUCCGGUCUUCAUGCUGAAAGACCAAAAUGAAAGGAGCAUUUUCACAGACAUAAAUCAAAGCUGAUGAAGGCAGGCACUAACCAAUAUAUUCCAAGUAUAUUGAUUUGUAAAUCCCUCUGAAAUUGGAAUGAAACUAAGCCUGGUUCUUCCUGUGGGUACAAAGCACCUGACAAAUUGUCCUCAAGUUUCCAUUUACUACUUGAUAUGAUUCUGUAAGUGUCACAAACAAAAAUAUUUGGAGGAUCAGAACCCUAUUAGUAGAAACAUGACCCUCCUUUGAUUUGGUUUAUUUUCUCACUCUAGCAGUCUUGUGGUAAACAAGUUUGCAGCAUUUUCCCAGAAAGUACAAUGAUCUGAUACGUUUAGUUCUCUCUCAGAGGAUUUCUAGCCUUUGAUAUUUAUGAUGAAAAGUUAUGAUGAAAUUUUUCUAGCUUAGUAGCAGAUAUUUCUGCAACUGGCAUCCAUUCAGUUAGAGGAAAAUACUUCUUAAAAUGAAAUAUCCACACAAGGAACACAAGAGGGAAAAUAAAAUUUAUGUAAUACUAUUUAUUUUGAUGCGUAGUCCACAAGCAAACCAAUGCAGGUCCAUUUGAUACGACUUCCCUUGAUAAAAACUUUUAAAAUGCAACUAUAUAAAUGGUGUGCAUGGUUUGAUUAAUUUGUUUUCUCUCCAACAGCUGAAUGCCUGUUUUAUGAGCUGGUUAUAUAAAGAGGAAACCAAACUUGUGUUAGAAAGGAAUGAUCCCCUGAGGAGAAAGGAAAGAGAAAAAAGAAUUCAGGGUACAUUUGGAUUGACAGUAUCAGCUUUCAUGUUCAAAUUAUUCUGAUGGCCAAGGCACAAAUAGCCCUGCUAGGAGCAGUUUCUUAGAUGCAGCAGCAGAAAGCAUUUGCUCUCUUGCUUAUGCUUUCUUUGUAAAGAGGCCACGGGGCCUAUUUUGAGCCUGCGUUUGUCGAGACGAUCCGUGCGUGUCACUGAGAAGAGACAAAAUGUCAUCCAGCACUCACAACUUCGGCACUACAAAGACUUGAAACAUCUCCAAAGCACAGUGAUGUUCUACUAUGGCAAGCAAAUAAAAAAUGAAUAAGCAUCA